UACGGAGGGAGCUAGCGUUAUUCGGAAUUACUGGGCGUAAAGCGCGUGUAGGCGGUUAUGCAAGUCGGGUGUGAAAGCCCGGAGCUCAACUCCGGAAGUGCAUUCGAUACUGCGUAGCUAGAGUACUGGAGAGGAUGGUGGAACUCUCGGUGUAGAGGUGAAAUUCGUAGAUAUCGAGAAGAACACCGGUGGCGAAGGCGGCCAUCUGGACAGAUACUGACGCUGAGACGCGAAAGCGUGGGGAGCGAUCCGG
rnacentral:rRNA from 1 species